UAACAAAUAAGAGGAAAUGAGCAAGGAUUUAUAAUAAUGCUUCUUUCAAAAAAAAGUGGCAUCUCAUCAUGUGGCAAUGCAGUUCUUGUUCUGGAAAUAACAAAGUUAUAAGCUGGAUAGAUGCAGGGAACGCCGU
rnacentral:lncRNA from 11 species